GCCAAAAUUCAGACAAGCAUGUUCUUCAUCCAUAUUGUAAUACAGUGACCUCUCUUUUCUUGCAGGAGUAGAUGCAUGCUUCUGUGAAGGAUGAAUAGUUGGGCAAAAAACCAGCAAUCUCUCCAACUUGUAGAAGGCUUCUCCAUAUCUGUAUUUUUAAUUAGUGCAGCAUGAAGAGGCCAAGUGGAAGGCUCUAUGCCAAGUAUCUUGUCUACAGAGGAAAAGGAUGCACUGUGAUUGAAGAAGCUUUUUUCCAAAGGUAUCUUACUUCACAUAUAUCAAUGGUUAACUUCUGUCUCUUCUUCUACUGUAGGAGCUGCUAAAUUAAAGUGACUAAAAUUCCCUAUAUUUUGAUUUUAUUCUGCAACAUUAUGCAAAUUGGUUCUUUUUCCUUUGAGAUCAUGACAAUCUGUCCUUUCUGGAUCUUUUUUAAAUUUUUUUAAUAUAAAGCAGCAAACAAAUUGAACACAUGCUAGCACAAAUGUUGGAAGCCACUUCAGUUACUAGCAAUCUUAUAAACAAACUAUAGCAACUGCUCUACCCAAAGAUGCUUAAUAUACAGGUUUAUUUUCUACUGAUUUGUGAGAUGUAUUUCAUAUGUAUUCAAUAAGAUUCCAGCUGGGGAGUUAAAAAGAAAAGCUGGUUCCUGAAGCAUGAGUUCAGCAUUCUCUAAAUAUCAAGUUCAGCCAUUUUCUGGUAGUUGAAAUGGUUCCUUCUGUCCCUUAAAAUGAGACAUCUUUUAAAUCACCUUCUGGAAGCAAUCCUAACUUCAGGUACUCAAAUGAUUACUAAUGUAAAAAAUAUAUUUAUGCUUUUGAAAGACAUUAUUUUAAAUGAUUCUGGACAGCGCAGAUUAGCUUUUAGUAGUGUCAUAUUCACAAUAAUCAGGUUGAUUACAUGAAUAUCUAGUGUUUUCUACUUGAAUACUAAUAGCCUCAAACUCAGCAAAGGAUCUUUCAGCAUAUUAUUGGUAAAUGGUUUUAUUUAUUUCUUACUAUUUGAAGUGCAGAAGAAAAAACGAAGUGGGCUAGGAGGUAUCUAAAGCCAGAAAUGCAUCCCAGUCCUUCAAUUUUGUGGCAAAUAAUUGGGCCCUGAAGGAAUUGGCUGUUCAGUUGUUCUCCCAGCUGUAGUGUGUGUGUGUUGGCUCUGUUUCUCAUAGAUGCCUCUCAGCAAUACGUUUUGGCAGGAGCCCUAAGGACUUACACCUCAAAGGAGGGGGAGAAGAAUGCUCUACGUUGAGGGCUUAAGCUAAUAUGAUCCAGAGCCCCAUUCGAUAAAGAUAUUCACAAGAGGAAAAGCUCCAAACAUUUUACUGAAUGCCAUUUUCCUCUUAGGAAGGUAAAUUCACUGGCAAAUUUUUAUUGCUUACCCUAUUCAGCAUCAGCGACAUCUCACUCUUAUUAGCCUUUAAACCUUUCAAACAAGCUGUUCUUUCACCUUACUUGUACUAGUAUGGGUAUAAUCAUGUAUAUGCACAUAUCCAUGCAAGCAGUACAUAUUUUUUUAUUUUUGUUUUUUAAGAAUUGUUUGUCUCCAUUGGUGUGUUUGUACAUUGAUUCCAGUAUCUCAGCUUUAAAAGACGUGACAAAUAAUUUUGUCUCAAAUUCUGUCCUGAAGCACCAGUGGAAAUGUAAGCUUUGCUAAGGCUUUGCUGAUGAAAAUUUAGCUGGAGUACAGGGAAAUCUUUCACUUGUACUUUACUAAUUUAGGAGUAUACUCCUCAUUUAUAAAAGUGACAUUGAUGCUCAGGAAGCUGGAGGGAUCAGAUAGUCUGUGUGAUAGUCCAAGUGAUAGUCAACAACUGAAGAGACAACUCAUUGCUUUCAGGGGCAGUAUACAAUACUUGAGUACUUUGAGCUAAUUGAUUUAGGCAUGGUAAUGUUUGUAUUCUUUUCCAUGUGCUUUAACCUCUGCUAACUCUCAAGCUCAAUUCCCCCCCAUUUGAGAGAUGGCCAGAAUCAUGUUCCUCCCUGGCACAGCAAGUUUUGAUCCUGAUGGAGAGGCUGGUAUUGAACGCACAGCAAGACCGACCUUAAUUCACAUCUCUAAGGAAGAAAGAGCCUACAGUCUUAAAGCAUCACAUAUUGUGGAGACUUUUUUAAAAGUAAAAAGCAGUGGCUAUGUGUGUGUAUACAGCCAAGGAAACACCUCUGCUGAUUUCCCCAGCAUGCACAAUGCAGGGGAGCGCAGGGCGGAGGUUCUUGAGCUCUUGCUCACCCGUGUUGGAAGUCUUCAAAGGGUGAUAUCAACUCAGGCCUACGGGCAGAAGAACACUGUUGGUGUGAUGAUGUGCCCACCUUAAUUAGUGAUAUGGCUCAUCUCCGCUGAAUUUCACAGCAUUACUAGGAUAAUACGGAUGGAACCAGUUUCUCUGUGGGUUUCUCUGUUCCCCUGAUUACAGCCAGUGUCAAGUAAACUUCUUCUGAGAAGCAGUGUUCGGACUUUGUUGUUUUCUGCUUUGGGAAGUGACCAGUAUAGCUCUCUGAAAGCAGCUGGGACCUUAUAGUCUUGAGAAGGGAAAGCAUGGGGGAUAUUAUCAGCAUGGCUCCUGUUGGGGUGGAAUAAAAAUGAUGGAACCAGACACUUCUGAGUGGUAUCCACUCAUAGGAUGGGAGUCACUGGGCAAAUGUUGAAAUACUGGCAAUUCUGUUUAAACAUAAGAAAGAGCUUUUUAUUGUGAAAGAUUUCCCAGAGAGGCUAUGGAGCCUUCAUUGCUGGAGAUAUUUAAAAUCUGGACAUGACCAUGGGCAGCUGGCUCUAACUCAUCCUACUUGGAGGAGGACUUUGGACUGGAUGACUUCCAGAGGUCACUUCCAAACCACAGCUAUUUUGUGGUUCUGUGAUUUAAGAAUCUAAUCCAUAUUGAAAGGCAAUGAAGAUAACUGUCAUAGACUUUGAAAUGGCUUUUGAAAGUGAGACUCAGGCUCCUCCAUCACUUACAGUGCUGAGUGGAGGAAAAAUGUAAUCCCUUGAAAAAAUUGUCCAAGUUUUGAACACCUUUCUCAAGCUUGCACAUAAAUGUUUAGGUCUAGUGCUUAAUAGGAAGCACUUCAGAACUUUUUAGCAUAUUUUUAAAUCCUUGCAGUGCUUCCAUCCAUACAAGUAAUUAUGUAAUUCUUAAAAAUAGCUUUAAUUUGUUUUAAACUUUUGGAUUUUGAAAUAGCAAAGAUGAAGUCACAAGGUAACAGUUCCUUUUACUUCCAUGGUCAUUAAAUACCGAACUGAUGAAGAGUUCAUUGCUUCAAAGGUUAGUUUCCUAAAAAUGAAAAGGAACCAAGUAAUGUUUGCUGUGCCAAGGCUCAUUUCUUCUGCCUACGAGGGACAAUAAGCAUGCCAUUUGAAAGGUCAUUGGUUCUUUUGUAUGCUAAUAAACAAUUAGUGCGGCUGGGGGGGGGGCAGGAGGACAUGUGGCAUCAACUUCUUUAAAAUGUAUUUCUGAGCAAAUUAACAAUUCGUGACAAGUUAAGAAUACUGAAGCUAAUAUCUCCUGGAUGAUUUCUCAGCCAUCAUUUCUUUCUGUGUGAAAAUAGUGCUGUUUAAUCAGCUCUGGCUAACAAAUAUUUUUCUCCUCGACGAGCACAUUCUGCGACUUCAGUUCACCCCUGAGAUUAUUAUUUUUUUUUUUGUAACAUUUUAUAGGUGAUAAGGAAAAAGA